GCCCCUCGCGAGCUGGGAAGGGAGCCCCUGAGAACUGACGAGCCCCCACUCCCCACCCGCGGCGCCAACACCUACUCAACUGGCUUUGCCGUGGAGAGAGGAGGCGGAAGGACCGAGGGGAUGACGAGAAAAGGGGGAAAACAGAGAUAACAAGAAGCCACACCCAGACGGCAUUGAGAGGAACGCACAUUACUCAGAGAUCCUGAUUUUAGAACUGGUCAUGACUUGGAUUAUCUUCCUUUGGGAGAAGACCAGUCACCAGGACCAGCCCGCCUCAAAGAGAGGGGAUUAAUACGUAAGGAUACGAACACCAGGAAUCCGGUUCAGAAGCUGCCUACUACAGGGUGCAAGGACAAGGUGGCUGCAUUUGACCUAAGUCUCCCCCCAGGUGACCCCAGAGAGGCCAGUAUCAGGAGGGUACAAGAAGCAGAAGACAGAACAAAGGAAGACAAUGGUGUGAUGCCCAAAUCUCAGCCAGCCAGCACGUCGGGGGAGAUGUGGACGAACUCAGAGCCCCCACCCCUCUUUAGGUAGACAGAGCCCCCACCCAUUCCCAGAAGAUCCCAGCUCAGGCGUCUGCUUCCUCUGCACCCCCUCACCCCCAGCAGAGCGGAGCCACACAACCAGGCAGCGCCUGGCUCGCCCUCUCCACUUCCCCAACUGGCGCUUGUCAUCGAGGCAAGGGAACCUUUUCUGGGCUUGGGAGGAUGGGAACCAAUCCCACAGCCCGUCCCACACGCCAGGAUUGGCACCGUCUGAGUUGUGGCAGCCAGCAGCCAGCAGCCCCCUGCCCCCUCUGGAGAGCAAUCCCCAUUCCCCUGCUGAGCCUGGCGAGCAACCUGAGCUGCUUCCCUGUCCCCACUCCAGCUUGGGGCUGCCUGGCUCAGAGGCAAAGGGUCUGCUUGUGAAAGGGAUACAGAGAGGCGCUGAGAAGGUGGGUGCCAGGGAGGCAGGACACAGAAUGAAAGGGAAAUCCUUGAGGGGCAAGGCCAGGGCUGCACGCGGACUUUCUGGGAGGCGCACAGGAGAGAGGAGCAGGCACACACCCCAGCCCACAUGUUGGAUGUGCAGGAAGGGUGACUGUGUUUGGAAGUCCCCUUGGAGACAAGGGGCAUAUGGCAGGCAGAAUAAUGCCCUCCAAAGACGUCCACGUCCUAAUCCUUGAACCUGUGAAUGUGUUAGGUCGCAUGGCCAAGGGAAUAAAGGCUGCAGAUGGGGUUAAGGUUGAUAAUCAGCCAAUGCAGAUGCUGGAGAGGUACCCUGGAUUGUCGGGUGGGUCCAAGGUCGCCCCAAGGACCCUUAGAACUAGGGAGAACAGUCAAUGUCAGAGUGAUGCCAUGUGAGAAAAACAACCUGGGGGCUGGGUGAAGGUAGAAGAGGGAA